rnacentral:rRNA from 1 species
GACGAACGCUGGCGGCGUGCUUAACACAUGCAAGUCGAACGGAAAGGCCCUGCUUUUGUGCGGUGCUCGUGUGGCGAACGGGUGUGUAACACGUGAGUAACCUGCCCUUUACUUUGGGAUAACUUCCGGAAACUGGGGCUAAUACCGUAUAUGAGCUCCUGCUGCAUGGUGGGGUUUGGAAAGUUUCGGCGGUUGGGGAUGGACUCGCGGCUUAUCAGCUUGUUGGUGGGGUAGUGGCUUACCAAGGCUUUGACGGGUAGCCGGCCUGAGAGGGUGACCGGCCACAUUGGGACUGAGAUACGGCCCAGACUCCUACGGGAGGCAGCAGUGGGGAAUAUUGCACAAUGGGCGGAAGCCUGAUGCAGCAACGCCGCGUGCGGGAUGACGGCCUUCGGGUUGUAAACCGCUUUCGCCUGGGACGAAGCGAGAGUGACGGUAAUGGGAGAAGAAGCACCGGCUAACUACGUG